rnacentral:rRNA from 1 species
AUUGAACGCUGGCGGCAGGCCUAACACAUGCAAGUCGAGCGAGCGGCGGACGGGUGAGUAAUGUCUGGGAAACUGCCUGAUGGAGGGAGAUAACUACUGGAAACGGUAGCUAAUACCGCAACCCAUCAGAUGUGCCCAGAUGGGAUUAGCUAGUAGGUGGGGGAAUGGCUCACUUAGGCGACGAUCCCUAGCUGGUCUGAGAGGAUGCACGGCCACACUGGAACUGAGACACGGUCCAGACUCCGACGGGAGGCAGCAGGGGGGAAUAUUGCACAAUGGGCGCAAGCCUGAUGCAGCCAUGCCGCGUGUAUGAAGAAGGCCUUCGGGUUGUAAAGUACUUUCAGCGGGGAGGCGUUACCCGCAGAAGAAGCACCGGCUAACUCCGUGCCAGCAGCCGCGGUAAUAC